rnacentral:rRNA from 1 species
UACGGGGGGGGCAAGCGUUGUUCGGAAUUAUUGGGCGUAAAGGGCUCGUAGGCGGCCAACUAAGUCGGACGUGAAAUCCCCAGGCUCAACCUGGGAACUGCGUCUGAUACUGGUUGGCUUGAAUGCGGGAGAGGGAUGCAGAAUUCCAGGUGUAGCGGUGAAAUGCGUAGAUAUCUGGAGGAAUACCGGUGGCGAAGGCGGCAUCCUGGACCGGCAUUGACGCUGAGGCGCGAAAGCGUGGGGAGCGAACAGG